GACGAAGGAUGCAAGCGUUAUCCGGAUUCAUUGGGUUUAAAGGGUGCGUAGGCGGCCCGGUAAGUCAGUGGUGAAAUCUCCUUGCUUAACAAGGAAACUGCCAUUGAUACUGCUGGGCUUGAGUACAGAUGCUGUGGGCGGAAUAUGACAUGUAGUGGUGAAAAUACAUAGAGAUGUCAUAGAACACCGAUUGCGAAGGCAGCUCACAAAACUGUAACUGACGCUGAGGCACGAAAGUGCGGGGAUCAAACAGG
rnacentral:rRNA from 1 species